AAGGAGUAAUAGUUUACGUCAAUUCAACAGAAGGAAAAUAAUUAUGAUAAAUCCUAGAAAUAAUAUUCAAUGAGCACUUGCAUGAUGGCUUUGCUAUUUCCAUCUGGUGAUCUUGUAUUUUUAGGUGUUGAGACGCUAUUUCUUAUAUCUAGUACCUAGACAUAAAUUGAAACAACAAGCAAAACAACAAGCAAUAAGUAACUCUAAGGAUUAAAGUAGAAAACUAAUAUAAUAAAUACAUUAAAUAUAAUGCAUUUACAUUUUUACAAUAGCUGAAAUUUCCUUCACUGCAACUGAAAAUAAGACUAUAUUUGCUCACAAAACACCCUUACUCAUAAAAGGAGAGAUUAUGUUUAAUAUACUGCAGAACAUUCAGAAUGCAUUUGGUUGAUGAAAAAAGAAAAGACACUCCAGACAUCAAGUAACUCAAGGAUCACGGUAUGAACCAAUAUAAUAUAUAUUGGUUUAAAUAAUAGAUCUUCAUUUUCACAAUAGCUGAAAUUCAAUUAGUAUAUAACACUUGUGAGAAUAAUCUGAGUUUCAAUACCUCGAAUAGAAGGAAGAAUGUUUUCAAUUUAAUUUUUUUCACUGAAGCAUAUUAUCGAACACUCUAACACUACAUUUUACAAAUGCAAGAAUAAGAUAUGUGGCAACAAUUGUAGAGAAGACUAAAAUGGUUUAGGACAACUAUAUCCUUCAAUAGUUUUCUGAGAUAAUUUCUCGAUUUGUGUGUAUCAUCUUUCAUGCAUGGGCGAUGCUAAUCUUCUCUGCAUCAUUCCUCAAAGGGACAUGUAUCCUUCUAUGGGUGUGUACUCUAAGCUUUGGUCCCAGGAGAUUAAUUUGAACUUGUUGCUAGGAAAUUUUGUCAAAAUGUUGUUAUAAGGUGCUGAUGUGGUGCCUAACUGCUAGGAUUUUAUAGUGUUUUACUUUCCAAUUGAACAAUUACUAUUAUGAACUAAAUUAAAUAGUAGUACAACAACAAAGUUUGUAGAUUACAGGAACUGAGGCUCUAACUUUAGUAAUCUGACUCUGAUUCUCUUUGUAUUAAAUUCAGUUUGAGAUAGUCCAAUGUGCUUGAGAAGAGGCUUUUUAAGUACGUAAUGCUCAAUGCAGUUUGGCUUCUACUCUGAAAUUGCAGUAUGCACUGAGUUUCACCUCAACUGAACAUGGGAGAGUGAGGUUGGGGAUAAACUGGCUAUUAAGUGGGAAAUACUUGUGAUAGAAGAAUUAAUCUAAUUAGCCGCUCACUCAACUUUUUAAAUUAUAAGUAGUCGGUAGAUAUAUAAUAUAUGUAUACUAUGUGUAUAAACAUAUAUAAAUAGUGGAUUAGCUAAUAGAGAUAGAUGACUAAUCACUAUUGUAUCAUUCCAUAUGAUACUACAAUUAAUUCAGGCAGACUAAUUAUUCUUCAACUAGCAGUUCCAUAGCUCGCAUAAGAAUUUAUAGCAGUAAAUGACAAUAAAACACCACUACACACAGCUCUUGAUUUAAUCAAUCAACUACGCCUCAAUCCUAAACUAGUUAGGGCCACUAUGCCAUCCUUGUACGCAUUCCACAAAUAUAACCUUAAACACCCAAAACUAAGGAUCUUUGCAUCCCUACCCUAACUGACCAAAAGAACUUCUAGCAAAUUUCAAUCAUAGAAAAGUCAGUUCCUUACCACACUGGAUACACAAAAUCUCCGGAAAAAUAAAGCUAAGAACAGAUCUAACAACUAAAGUGACGGAGCAUUGCAUAACCACAAAGAAACCGUAGAUCCACACAGAUACAUACACGCACAUAAGCAAAAAGGAUAGGAAAUAGAAAGACAUGGCUGAAAUUUCUUUGGAAUUGGGAGUUGCCAUCAACAAAGGCGGAUGGAGAUUAGCGAACUCUUUCGGGAGCUUCAUCGGAGACCUAGCGAGAAGAGGAUACGGAAAGGAGAGGAGAGGAGAGGGAGUCGCCGAGUACGACGAUCUAGUGAAUGCCGCCGAUGAUUUGUGCCAUAUUUGGUGGGAGGGAGAGGGAGAGAGACAAAAUGCAGAGAUUAGGGUUUGCUGGUGCCGGAGAAUGAGAUGUAGUUCUAAUUUGUGAGUUUACAUAGCUUUGCA
rnacentral:lncRNA from 1 species